rnacentral:rRNA from 1 species
UAACACUAACUGGAGGACCGAACCGACUAAUGUUGAAAAAUUAGCGGAUGACUUGUGGCUGGGGGUGAAAGGCCAAUCAAACCGGGAGAUAGCUGGUUCUCCCCGAAAGCUAUUUAGGUAGCGCCUCGUGAAUUCAUCUCCGGGGGUAGAGCACUGUUUCGGCAAGGGGGUCAUCCCGACUUACCAACCCGAUGCAAACUGCGAAUACCGGAGAAUGUUAUCACGGGAGACACACGGCGGGUGCUAACGUCCGUCGUGAAGAGGGAAACAACCCAGACCGCCAGCUAAGGUCCCAAAGUCAUGGUUAAGUGGGAAACGAUGUGGGAAGGCCCAGACAGCCAGGAUGUUGGCUUAGAAGCAGCCAUCAUUUAAAGAAAGCGUAAUAGCUCACUGGUCGAGUCGGCCUGCGCGGAAGAUGUAACGGGGCUAAACCAUGCACCGAAGCUGCGGCAGCGACACUAUGUGUUGUUGGGUAGGGGAGCGUUCUGUAAGCCUGUGAAGGUGUACUGUGAGGUAUGCUGGAGGUAUCAGAAGUGCGAAUGCUGACAUAAGUAACGAUAAAGCGGGUGAAAAGCCCGCUCGCCGGAAGACCAAGGGUUCCUGUCCAA